CAGGUCUUGAGGGCAGGUGGCCCAGGCCCUCAGUAAUCUGUUUGCCUGAGUAGUCAAGAAGCUUCUUGGGAAAUAGUCCAUCCAUAAGAAGUAAGAGUUCCAAGAACUCUUGAAGUGACAAAAGACCAGUGAGCCUAAGCUUAGGAAUGCAAUGUCUGUUCCUGAUUGUUCUCCUUCCUAGUCCCCAGGGACUGAUGCCUCAGCCCCAAGGAGAAGGAAUUGCAAUGUUGCAAUGACAAGCAAAGAAACACCUGUUCCACAAGAUGCCCAUGAGAACCUCAGAUCCCAAGACAAUAUCAGCAAAUCAGCGUUAAACAUCGGACACCAACAUUGACAUCAGUGCUAUGGUGACACGCAGAAGGGAUUCAUUCACUUCUUCAUGGAGCUGCACAUGUGCAUGGCUCAGGACCCUAAGAAGCUGAAGGAAGACAUGAGGGGAACAGGAGAAACUGCAGGCCAACUACAGCCCAGCACCAAGAAAUUGGGCCAGUAGAUCAGCAAUGAAGUGCACAACCUUCAACCUUUCUAGCACCUUUGCCUAGCACCUUUGAUGGACUUUCAAAGCACAGUUGCUACUGCUUUUCUUCUGCCUCCCAAAUAUCACACAAAUUACUGCUGUGGUCAAUUCUAAUCUGGAACCAUACAGUAAAGGGAUUCUGGGAAAUGUUGUUUCAAUUUGGCUGAGUAGACACAAAAUAAAACCAG
rnacentral:lncRNA from 1 species